UACGGGGGGGGCAAGCGUUGUUCGGAAUUACUGGGCGUAAAGGGCGCGUAGGCGGCCUGCUAAGUCGGAUGUGAAAUCCCUCGGCUCAACCGAGGAACUGCAUCCGAUACUGGCGGGCUUGAAUCCGGGAGAGGGAUGUGGAAUUCCAGGUGUAGCGGUGAAAUGCGUAGAUAUCUGGAGGAACACCGGUGGCGAAGGCGGCAUCCUGGACCGGUAUUAACGCUGAGGCGCGAAAGCCAGGGGAGCGAACGGG
rnacentral:rRNA from 1 species